CUCUUAUGGAGAGUUUGAUCCUGGCUCAGGACGAACGCUGGCGGCAUGCCUAAUACAUGCAAGUCGAGCGAACUGAAGGAAGCUUGCUUCCUUUAGUUAGCGGCGGACGGGUGAGUAACACGUGGGCAACCUGCCCUUCAGAUGGGGAUAACUCCGGGAAACCGGGGCUAAUACCGAAUAAUCCAUUUUCUCGCAUGAGGAAAUGUUGAAAGACGGUUUCGGCUGUCA
rnacentral:rRNA from 1 species